rnacentral:tRNA from 1 species
GCGGGUGUAGCUCAGUUGGUUAGAGCGCGUGGUUGUGGUCCAUGAGGUCGUGGGUUCGAGUCCCAUCUCUCGCCCCA